AAAAAAGGGAAAGUUUUAUUACAAUCCUAAGCAAACAUCUAUUUUUCUUUACAUCUAUUUAAUUUAAUAAUGCACUGUUUAAUUAAUGAUGUGGCAAAUUUAAUUUGAACAAUCAAUGCGCAUAUACAUAUAUAUAUAUCCAGAUGAUACAAUUGAAUUUUGGUUCCAAAUAUUGGUAGGCCUACAUAAAAUUUCUAAAAAUUUCUUACGUUUAAAAAGGAAAAAAAUAGAAUUUCAUUUGAAACAAUUUGUAAUAUAUGUAGGAUUACCAAAUUUGUUUGUAAAAUUUUCAGAUUAUAAAGUAAAAAGAAAAGGUCACACCUGUAAUUACUUACAAUAUCUUUUUUUCAUAUGUAUCUAUUUUCAGUUAAUUCCAUUGUAAGUAUUUCACAUUUAUUUUCUAUAGCCCACUUUUUUUUUUUGCUUCUGAGCUGUUUAGUUUGUUUGUUGUUUUUUUGCAUACAGGUCAUAGGAAAAUAACAUGCUGUUUUUCCCAACUGCCCAUGCUGCCAUACAGGGUGUUGGCUACAUAGGUUAAUGGUUGUUGAAAUAAUAGGUGAGGGUAAUAUGGGACAUUCUCGAAAAAAAAAAUUGUUUGACAACACAUGUGAGAAAAGUAUCUGUGAAAGGACUAAGUUUGUGGGAUUUUAGUUAUUUAGAUGGAAUAGUAUGUCCUGUUGUUAGCUGGUAAACCAUUAUAUUAAAAAAAAUAAUUUUCCAUAACCAAGUCUGCCACGUUUCCACAGAAGACUUCUAUCCCAUGGUACUUGCAAAGUCAGAGGUACAUGUGUGUAUAUUAUUUACUUUAGUAACCAUGGCAUAAAACGGUGAUCUACACCAAAAGUAAUAAAUGUACUCCUGUGUUCAGUUAUGAGCUGUGCCUGAAUUAUUGGUCUUUUUUAUGCAUUAAGUCUUUACAUUCCUCAACUCUGACCUUAUAUAUAACUCGUUAUAUUUAGAAAACGCCUGAUUGAAUAUUUAAAAUGUAAAUUUGCAAUUUUUCCUUAGGUUCUCAUGUAAUCUGUAUUAAUGAAAUGAUUUAUAAUUAAAUUGUGAUUCUUAUAUAGCCUGGUAUAAAUAAAUUAUUUAGUCUGUAAAUAUAAAAAUGUUGAACUUCAAAAUUUGUUUCACAGUUUUCUGAAUCUCAAUAGCUACAUAACCUUUUGUUAAUUUAGCUUGCGGCUUAUGCUCAUUUUAUUGCUUUGUAUUAUGUAAUCUAGUAUUGUUACUUCUAAUGCAACCUAAAUGUAUUUUGUGAGUGAAACACAAUCAAAACAUUGAAAAGUAUUGUUGCAUUGAAUUUAAGUUUCUGAUUUUAAUUUUUGAUAAAUAUGUCAAGCUAAAAGUUAUAAUUCCCCAUAAUGCAAUCCUCUAAAGGUUUAUUUUUUUUUGGUAACACAUUUCUGUUUCUCCUUUUAUCAAAUAUUGGAGAUUUUCAUUAUGGCGGGAAGAUAUAUAAUAGCUUGCUUUGUGGUGUAACCAGAGUACAACAUAAAUGAAGUGUUAAGAAUUUUUUUUUAAAAAGUAUAUAAGAAUUUGUGUGAAUAUUUUAGCACUGCAGAAUCAAACUUUCCAAGCUCUUCCGCUUGUAGCUCAAUAAUUUCAAUGUUAAGGACUCAUUAGACUUUCACUCUUGGUAUCUGAAAACUAAGGAUCUGCUAAUUGAUAUUAUUAAAGGAGACUGUCACACAUUAAGAUAUUGUAAAAUUUUAUCUCCCUUCUUUUGUAUUUAGUUGGCAACAUUGAAGUUCAAUUUAGCAUCCUUGACAUUGGUUAAUUUUGUCAUGAAAAUCUCUGACUCAACAAAUAACAAAAACCUGUAUAACUGAAUCUUCAUUUAGGCCUUUGACCAUAUAAUAGAAAUUUGUAGAUUUUAUUUUGUGGUAUUACUGUAACAGUCACAUUUAUUGUCAAAAUCAAUCAUGUGAUGUUCCUGUCAUGAUUGUGAUGCCUGUUACUAAGGUAUAUAAAAAUACAGCAAUAAAAUGAAGUUUUAUCAGCUUAAACAUUGAAACAGUAAAAAUAUUUUUUCUUUAGCUUCAAAUUAAUUUUUAAAAAUGUAUUGAAAGAAUGUAGACCUACUACAUUCAAAUUGGAACCCCUGUUGAAUUGAUAGCCUCAAAUCCUUCUUUUCCCUUUUAUAUACUUAGCUGUUUCCAUUUCCCGGAGAUUCCAGUAAGCUUGUUGGCACUACUGGUUAAUUGUAUUUUUUUAACAUUAUCCCUCCCCUGUCACAUUCGACAUGGUUUUUAACAUCAACAGUGAUGAUAUUGAUCUACUGUACCUUUAAUACUUUAUAACUUUCAUUUUCAAAAGAACUCUAACACAAGUUUGUUUCAAGCCUUAGUCAUUGUAUGAACACUGUUUUCUGUAAAAACUACACUGUAAAUUUAUAUAUUACUAAAUCAAUUUUUACGCAAGAGAUCCCUUGAUGUCCUUCUGUCAGUCUAUUUUUAUCUAGUAUUAUUCUACAUUGUGUUUGGUAUCACUUUAAUUUUUUUUUAUAUAGUCCAUUAUUGUUUUAAGGAUAUGUGCACUUGUUUUUAUUAUCUCCCUUGCUUGUUUGAAAAGACUGUAUUAUUUGAUCUAUAAAUAGAAGCUGCAAAAUACAUCAAACUUCUUAUUGUUCAUUUCUUUUUUUGUUCAUUUCUUUUUUUUUUAUAUGUUAAGUCUUUGUAGAUUCUCAUUAAUCAUUUGCUGGAAGAGAUUAUCAUAUACUUCCUUAAGUCAUUAGUUUUGUGAAAAUAAAGGCUUUAAGAAACUAGA